rnacentral:rRNA from 1 species
UACGUAGGGGGCAAGCGUUGUCCGGAUUUAUUGGGCGUAAAGAGCUCGUAGGCGGCUCGGUAAGUCGGAUGUGAAACCUCCAGGCUCAACCUGGAGACGCCAUCUGAUACUGCCGUGGCUUGAGUCCGGUAGAGGAGCAGGGAGUUCCUGGUGUAGCGGUGAAAUGCGCAGAUAUCAGGAGGAACACCAGCGGCGAAGGCGCUGCUCUGGGCCGGUACUGACGCUGAGGAGCGAAAGCGUGGGGAGCGAACAGG